CCUACGGGCGGCAGCAGUGAGGAAUAUUGGUCAAUGGGCGGAAGCCUGCACCAGCCAAGUCGCGUGAGGGAUUAAGGCCCUGCGGGUCGUAAACCUCUUUUGCCGGGGAGCAGAGGUCCGGACGUGUCCGGGCCGGGAGAGUACCCGGAGAAAAAGCAUCGGCUAACUCCGUGCCAGCAGCCGCGGUAAUACGGAGGAUGCGAGCGUUAUCCGGAUUUAUUGGGUUUAAAGGGUGCGUAGGCGGGCAUUUAAGCCGGCGGUCAAAUGUCGGGGCUCAACCCCGGCCUGCCGGCGGAACUGGGUGCCUUGCGUGGGCGAGAAGUAUGCGGAAUGCGUGGUGUAGCGGUGAAAUGCAUAGAUAGCACGCAGAACCCCGAUUGCGAAGGUAGCAUACCGGCGCCCUACUGACGCUGAGGCACGAAAGUGCGGGUAUCGAACAGGAUUAGAUACCCGGGUAGUC
rnacentral:rRNA from 1 species